rnacentral:tRNA from 1 species
AGCUUUAUAGUCAAAUAAAUGAUAUUAAAUUGCAAAUUUAAAGUUGAAUAAUUAUUUCUUAAGCUU